rnacentral:lncRNA from 1 species
UUUAAAACACUUUUAACAAGUCAAACAAGAACCCAAAAAUCCACCUUUUGGAUUUGGCCGAAUUUCCCCAAAAACAUGGCACCAAAUUUUAGCUCUAAAAUUCAUGCUCAUAUGAACCACAGCUACAACAUUUGAGAUGGCAAAUUUUCUAUCAAAAUUUACAUUCAAAGAAGCAAGAAUAAAGCUUGUAACAAUUUCAACAUUCAAAUCAUAAACUAUGAAAAUACAAAACCCAAAAGGAUUCACCAACUACUAGACCUAGGCUCUGAUACCACUUGAAGGAAAUUUGUGAAAAACAUGUUCAUUUGAGCAACAUCUAUGGCAUGCAAUUAACAUUUAAAGGCAGAAUCAUGCUUUUAUGCACUCAAAAACAAAACAUUACCCAUGAAAUUCAAAGCCUAGUAGUUAUGUGAACCCACUGCCUUGCUAAAAGGAACCUAAUGGAUCGUACACCGUGUAAGGUAGAGAUUGAAGAAACAACGGAGAUGAGUAAGGAUAAUUAAAUGAUUUAAUUAUUUUUGGCAAGGAUUAAUUAAUAUGUUAAUCAAUCAAACGAAUAAAGUUCGUUAAAGACCUCGAGUUAAUUUUGGGCCUCAAGGCCCAAUGGGCUUCGAACGUCAAGCCCAUUGACUUAAGUUGUAUGACAACUUAAUGACUAAUAAUUCACAAAGGCCCAAAAAGCCCAAUAAAACCCUAUGGCCGGCCAUAUUGAUAAAGGAGUGGGUUUUUGACUUAUUACAAGUUUGCCACUCCAAUGAAGGUAGGUAUAAAUGUGACUUUAUAGCCUUUUCUUCAUUAGGGUUUCUUUUGGAGAAAAGAUGAGAACACAAUGUCUAUCCCUUUCUCUCUAGGAGGCCGGCCCCCUUGGAGGAGAUUAGCUAGCAAUCUUCCCUCCUCCAAGGUCACUCAUCUCUUCUUUGAGUCUCUCCUUGGUGUGGAAAAAUUAGAGGUUCUCAACUUUGGGAACUUGGAGAAUCCUUUCAACCAUCCUCAUCGAAGAAAUCCAUGGAGCUAAGAAGCAAGGAAUGAAGGCCCUCUCCUUGGGUGAUUAUCCUUUGCUUAUGCAAAGAGGAAUCAACAAAGGUAUAAAAUUUCUCAACUCACUUUGUUCUUGAGUUGAGUCUUGGCAAUUAGAACUCUUUCAAAUCGAUUGUGAAUUGAAACUUACUUUCAAUUCUCCCUUUAGUGAUUAUUCACGUUUAGGGCUUCCACAAACCACGAGUGAGACCUAGCAGUAUGUCAUGGUUACCUAAGCUAAUCAGAAGAGGUGGAGAACCUAUUUAUUGUGGCCAUUUCUGGGAGUGUCCCAACGCAGGUAGUCGAAAGCCUUCAGGGUAACUGAGCAGUCGAACAACCCAUCCACGUCUAGAUAUUUCAGAGCAGUUUACCCUCUUCUCAUGGGAGAGCGGACUCAUAUGUGUGUCGGUGAAUUAGUUUACCCUAUCGUACUGGAGAGCAGACCUAGAUGGGUGUCAGAGGAUUAGUUUACCCUGUUGCACUAGAGGGUAUAUCUAGAUGGGUAGGGAAAUUAGUUUAACCUCUCGCACUGGAAAGCAUGGAAGAGUAUACUCAAAUGGGUGUCAACGUUGGAAAUGUGCCCUAAAACCAAUCAUAUGAUGAUACUUUACAGACAUUUCACAAGUUAAACUAAUCUAGUUUAAUAUAAAGGGCAAAGAUUAUUGUUUAAAGCUGACUCAUAUAAAUGUUAUAUGCUUAAAAGAUAAGUCCAAGGAAUAUGUAAUUGGGAGAAUGUGAUCUAAAGAAGUUAGACUCAUGAGACCAUUCUUUUUUGUAAACAUAUCCUAAACGUUCCUGAUCAUAGGAUUGCCAAUUGGGCAUUGACAGUACGUUAAGAUCAAUAUAUGUUAUGUCUUCUCUUAGGGAGAGUGACUAGUCCCAAGUUAUUAGUGCGACUAACACCAAGACAUGUACGUAGGUGCUUAGUAGAGAAUGAGUCCACUGAACACGAUCAACAAGGAGUUCUCAUACUCAUGUCACAUGAGAACUCAUGGUUGAGAUAAUGCAAAGUAGUCCUUUGACAUGAGGCUUUAUAGUUGUCUUAUGGUUAGGUCCUUGAUCUUUGACUAUGUAGACUACAACAUGGUUUGGGUUAAGCCAUUUAGCCAUGGAGGCAAGUGAAUGCGCAACAAGGGAUCUCUAACCUUCGAACCAUUUAAAGAAGAAUACUCUAUGAUAUGAUUAAGAAUCUGUGGCCAGAGUAUGAAUGAGAUUUAUGAAGUUGUUCCAAAUCACAUUCAAGGUAAUCAUAUAAGUAAAUGAAUCACAUUGGAUAGUAGACAUGAAUAAACUAUCAAACCAAACAAUGUGGUCAAGAGUAUUAUAUUAGAGAAAGACCGUACUGCAUUGUAAUCCUAAACUGAAUAGGUUCUCCACCUCUUAUGAUUAGCUUUGGUAGCCAUGACAUACUACUAGGUAUCACUCAUGGUUUGUGGAAGCCUUAACGGUGUAUAAUCACUAAAGGGGGUGAAGGAUGAUUUUGUGAAAACAUGUUCAUUUGAAUAACAUCUAUAGCAUGCAUUUAACAAUUAAAAGGCGGAAUCAUGCUUGCAUGCAUUCAAAAACAAAACAUUACCCAUGAAAUUCAAAGCCUAGUAGAUUGGUGAACCAAGAAUCAACUCAAAACAAAGUGAGUCGAGAUUUAUACCUUUGUAGAUUCCUCUUUGCAUAAGCAAAGGCUAAUCACCCAAAGACAGGGCCUUCAUUCCUUGCAUCUAAAAUCUAUGGAUUUGGAUGGAUGAAAAGGUUUCUCCAAGUUCCCAAAAUUGAGAACCUCUAAGUAUCUUCACCAAAGUUAGAUUGGAGAAGAAAUGAGUGACCUUGGAGUAGUUAGUAUGGCUAGAUACCCCCUCCAAGGGGCCGGCCUCUUUAGAGAGAAAAUGAGAGACAAGUUCUCACCAAUUUUCUCCAAAAGAAACCCUAAAUGAAUUUUGGCUAUAAAGUCAUAUUUAUACCUUAAUUCAUUGGAGCGGCAAACUUGUAAAUAAGUCCAAAACCCACUCCAAAACCAAAUGCCCGGCCAUGGGAUAUUAUUGGCCUAAUUGGGCCUUUGUGAAUUAAGUUGUCAUACAACUUAAGUCAAUGUACUUGACGUUCGAAGCCCAUUGGGCCUUGAGGCCCAAAACUAUCCCGAGGUCUUUAACGAACUUUAUUCGUUUGAUUAAUUAACAUAUUAAUUAAUCAUUGCCAUAAAUAAUUAAACCAUUUAAUUAUUCUUACUCAUCUCCAUUGUUUCUUCAAUCUCCACCUUACAUGGUGUACAAUCCAUUAGGUUCCUUUUAGCGAGGCAGUGGGCGAUUAAAACCAUUUUACAUCGAUUGUGAAUUGAAACUUACUUUCAAUUCUCCCUUUAGUGAUUACACACAUUUAGGGCUUCCAAAAACCAAAAGUGACACCUAGCAGUAUAUCAUGGUUACCCAAGCUAAUCAGAAGAGG